GAUGAAGAACGUAGCGAAAUGGGAUAAGUAGUGUGAAUUGCAGAAUUCAGUGAAUCAUCGAAUCUUUGAACGCACAUUGCGCCCCUUGGUAUCCCGAGGGGCAUGCCUGUUCGAGCGUCAUUUCACCACUCAAGCCUGGCUUGGUGUUGGGCGACGUCCUCUUUGGGGACGCGCCUCGAAACGCUCGGCGGCGUGGCACCGGCUUUAAGCGUAGCAGAAUCUUUCGCUUUGGAAGUCGGGGCCCCGUCUGCCGGAAGACCUGCUCGCAAGGUUGACCUCGGAUCAGGCAGGGAUACCCGCUGAACUUAAGCAUAUCAAUAAGCGGAGGA
rnacentral:misc_RNA from 1 species